rnacentral:lncRNA from 1 species
GGGGGGGGAAAGGGGAGAGGAUAAAUAAUGAUGAUGAUAGGGUAUUUCAUUAUGACGAAUUGUGAGAAAUAAGUGAGAGUCGACUCAAUUGAUUGGACUAUAGUAAGAAGUAAGAAGGGGACUCGUGACAAGCAUUGUAUUUUCUUUUGUGUAAGUAGCCAAGUAUGUUUUAAGAGAUUAGUUGUAAGUAUUGACUUAUGUUAGAAUACAAUGGCAAUUUAAAAGACUAAGAGGCAGUUGAAUAGGGAGGAGAAACAAUUCAAUGUAAGGCGCAAGGAUGAGUUGUUACCAUUCGAGUAUAUUAUUAUGACUAAUAUGGAGGCGAUCCGAUUGGAUGUUUGUUGGACUAGGAAGAAGUGGCAAGAUUUUCAAAGAGCGCAUAGGUAUGGAUUUUUAUGCAUCUCGCAAAACUUACCACU